rnacentral:rRNA from 1 species
GCUACGUGGGGGGCGGGGGGGGGGGAAUAACGUAUGGGGCGGGCGUUGUCCGGGUUCACGGGGGGUAAAGCGCGUGCAGGCGGCUCGGUAAGUUGGGCGUGAAAUCUCCUGGCUGAACCUGGGAACUGCGGUUGGGACUGCCAGGCUAGAGUACGGCAGAGGGGGGUGGAAUUCCACGUGUAGCAGUGAAAUGCGUAGAGAUGUGGAGGAACACCAAUGGCGAAGGCAGCCCCCUGGGUCGAUACUGACGCUCAUGCACGAAAGCGUGGGUAGCAAACAGGAUUAGAUACCCUAGUAGUC